rnacentral:rRNA from 1 species
AACGCUAGCUACAGGCUUAACACAUGCAAGUCGAGGGGCAGCAUGAAGUUUGCUUGCAAACUUUGAUGGCGACCGGCGCACGGGUGAGUAACGCGUAUCCAACCUCCCGCAUACUCGGGGAUAGCCUUCUGAAAGGAAGAUUAAUACCCGAUGGUAUCCUAAGUGCCCAUGCAAUUAAGAUUAAAGAAUUUCGGUAUGCGAUGGGGAUGCGUUCCAUUAGGUAGUAGGCGGGGUAACGGCCCACCUAGCCAUCGAUGGAUAGGGGUUCUGAGAGGAAGGUCCCCCACAUUGGAACUGAGACACGGUCCAAACUCCUACGGGAGGCAGCAGUGAGGAAUAUUGGUCAAUGGACGGAAGUCUGAACCAGCCAAGUAGCGUGCAGGAUGACGGCCCUAUGGGUUGUAAACUGCUUUUGUAUGGGAAUAAAGUGCGGGACGUGUCCCGUUUUGUAUGUACCAUAAGAAUAAGGACCGGCUAAUUCCGUGCCAGCAGCCGCGGUAAUACGGAAGGUCCGGGCGUUAUCCGGAUUUAUUGGGUUUAAAGGGAGCGCAGGCUGGAGAUUAAGCGUGACGUGAAAUGCCGCGGCUCAACCGUGGAAGUGCGUCGCGAACUGGUUUCCUUGAGUGUAUUCGACGUCAGCGGAAUUCGUGGUGUAGCGGUGAAAUGCUUAGAUAUCACGAAGAACUCCGAUUG